CCUACGGGUGGCAGCAGUGGGGAAUAUUGCACAAUGGGGGAAACCCUGAUGCAGCGACGCCGCGUGGGUGACGAAGUAUUUCGGUAUGUAAAGCCCUAUCAGCAGGGAAGAAGAUGACAGUACCUGACUAAGAAGCCCCGGCUAACUACGUGCCAGCAGCCGCGGUAAUACGUAGGGGGCAAGCGUUAUCCGGAUUUACUGGGUGUAAAGGGAGCGUAGGUGGCAUGGCAAGCCAGAAGUGAAAACCCGGGGCUUAACCCCGCGGAUUGCUUUUGGAACUGUCAGGCUGGAGUGCAGGAGGGGCAGGCGGAAUUCCUGGUGUAGCGGUGAAAUGCGUAGAUAUUAGGAGGAACAUCGGUGGCGAAGGCGGCUUACUGGGCUUUUACUGACGCUGAGGCUCGAAAGCGUGGGGAGCAAACAGGAUUAGAUACCCCAGUAGUC
rnacentral:rRNA from 1 species